AGGAGUUUGAUCCUGGCUCAGAGCGAACGUUAGCGGCGGGCCUAACACAUGCAAGUCGAGCGAGAAAGUGGCUUCGGCCAUCAGUAAAGCGGCGGACGGGUGAGUAACACGUAGGUAAUCUUCCCUUGAGCGGGGGACAACGAGCCGAAAGGCUCGCUAAUACCGCAUACGUUCUUAGAGACCCCGGUCUUUAAGAGGAAAGCUAGGUAGCAAUAUCCGGCACUCGAGGAGGAGCCUGCGUAGCAUCAGCUAGUUGGUGGGGUAACGGCCUACCAAGGCGAAGACGCUUAGCUGGUCUGAGAGGAUGAUCAGCCACACUGAAACUGAGACACGGUUCAGACUCCUACGGGAGGCAGCAGUGGGGAAUAUUGGACAAUGGGCGCAAGCCUGAUCCAGCCACGCCGCGUGAGUGAUGAAGGCCUUCGGGUCGUAAAGCUCUGUGGGGAGGGACGAACCGCUGCCGGUUAAUAGCCGGCAGCAUGACGGUACCUCCUUAGCAAGCACCGGCUAACUUCGUGCCAGCAGCCGCGGUAAUACGAAGGGUGCAAACGUUGCUCGGAAUUAUUGGGCGUAAAGCGCACGUAGGCGGCUUAGCAAGUCGGAAGUGAAAGCCCUCGGCUCAACCAAGGAAGUGCUUUCGAAACUGCUGAGCUUGAGUAGUUAAGAGGAUCGCGGAAUUCCCGGGUAGAGGUGAAAUUCGUAGAUAUCGGGAGGAACACCAGUGGGCGAAGGCGGCGAUCUGGGAACAUACU
rnacentral:rRNA from 1 species